rnacentral:rRNA from 1 species
GAUGAACGCUAGCGGCAGGCCUAAUACAUGCAAGUCGAACGGUGUCUUCGGACAUAGUGGCGCACGGGUGCGUAACACGUAUGCAACCUACCUUACAUUGGGGGAUAGCCUUUCGAAAGGGAGAUUAAUACCGCAUAAGACAGUAGCUGGGCAUCCAGCAGCUGUUAAAGAUUUAUCGAUGUAAGCUGGGCAUGCGUCCAAUUAGCUAGUUGGUGAGGUAACGGCUCACCAAGGCAAGGAUUGGUAGGGGAACUGAGAGGUCAAUCCCCCACACUGCCACGGAGUUACGGGCCAGACUCCUACGGGAGGCAGCAGUAGGGAAUAUUGGGCAAUGGACGCAAGUCUGACCCAGCCAUGCCGCGUGCAGGAUGAAGGCGUUAUGCGUUGUAAACUGCUUUUAUACAGGAAGAAACGACUCUUGCGAGAGGCAUUGACGGUACUGUAUGAAUAGGCACCGGCUAACUCCGUGCCAGCCGCCGCAGUAAAAC